GAUUGAGCCUUGGUAUGGAACCUACCAAGUGAGAACUUUCAAAUUCAGAGAAACCCUGGAAUUAAAAAUGGGCGAUCCUGAGCCAAAUCCUAUUUUAUUAAAACAAACAAGGGUUUCAUAAACCGAGAAUAAAAAAGGAUAGGUGCAGAGACUCAAUGGAAGCUGUUCUAACAAAUGGAGUUGGCUGCAUUGUGUUAGUAAAGGAAUCCUUACAUCGAAACUUCCGAAAGGAUGAAGGAUAAACCUAUAUGCAUACGUAUAGUACUGCAAUACUAUCUCCAAAUGAUUAAUGACGGCUCGAAUCUGUAUUUUUUUAUAUUUAUAUGAAAAACGAAAGAAUUGUUGUGAAUCGAUUAAAAAUUGAAAAAAGAAUCGAAUAUUCAUUGAUCAAAUCAUUCACUCCAUCAUAGUCUGAUAGAUCUUUUUAAGAAUUGAUUAAUCGGACGAGAAUAAAGAUAGAGUCCCAUUAUACAUGUCAAUAUCGACAACAAUGAAAUUUAUAGUAAGAGGAAAAUCCGUCGACUUUAGAAAUCGUGAGGGUUCAAGUCCCUCUAUCCCCAAAACUAAACGGUUUACUCCCUAA
rnacentral:ncRNA from 1 species